UCAGAAUGCUUGGUGUAACUACACUCCUUGUGGGGCAAAGUGCUUGUGCAACUUGAAACUUUUUUUAUUUUAUUAUCCUUUACCAGUAAAACAGGCAAUAUGUGAGAAUAUGUAAGUAACUAAGUUUUAAAGCAGUGCUUUGGACGUUAGUUUAAAGAAAACAAGGCCAGGCAAGUAUGCAAAGUCUUAACAAGCCGAAUCAGGGAGUGUUAAAGAGGUAUAAGAGAGGUUUUUAAGAAAGCUAAAGUAGAAAAAAGCACACACGUUAGUUACUUAGCCGAUUUCCUGCGACAAAACAGAAGCGGAGGGUCGCUAGGUAGAUGUUCACAGCUGAGUUGCGAGGAUCAAAAUGGUCACAGCGAGCCGGUAAACAUGGACAGAGUUAGGGAGGAGCCACUGUUGCUUUAGAGCAAUGCCCCCACACAAAGUUUCGAAGAGCCCCAUCAAUCAAUAGUCAGCAUCGUUUAGUACGCAAAGUGGGGAUGUAUCGGAACAGCUGAGGUCCCUUGUGAAGCGCAGAGGGAGUACACAGGCACGUGCGCAAGCACACAGACACGUCCGUGACGCGAAGUGGGGGUGUAUCGGAACAGCUGGGGUGCCCUGUGAAGCGCAGGCCAUAUGGUAAACAUCAAUUCAAAUGUCCCGCGAGGAGAAUGUUUUAUGCCUUUUCUUAUUCUGAAUACAGACACAGACCUAAACUAAGUUUUUAAACAACCAUGUAAGAAAGAAAACAUUUCUUAAAUUUUUAAGCCUUUAAAAAGGGGUUUAAGUGGAGAUUGCACACGUUAGAUACCAUAUAAGGGUGUAUAAAACAUAUUGAAUAAUUACACUGAUCUUCAUAAAAUGUUGUAUUAAAAAUAUUUUUAGCUAAAGCCUACAGUGACAUCAUGUGUUGGUACAAAUGGAUGUUUAUGGUAUGCUCUAGCCUCUGUGAAUCCAUGCACAUGGCAAAGGCAUCCUUGCUUUUCCAUCGGGGGGAGUGCGUUGAGGGUUUUAUAAAUGAAUACAGAUAACAGAGAUAAUAGGGUGUGGCAAACACGCCUGCCACAGGCCACCAAAGUGGCUUUCCUUGGGGCCCUCCAGCACAGAGACACAGGGAGAUGAUGUUCCAACAGUCCAGAUUUAUUUCACGAGGGUUUGGAAAGAUGUUACAGCUAAGUGAGCAGAUCUUAAACCCUGUCAUGACACAGAGCUCCCCUGUGUGGGUGGGGAUGGCAGAUUUAACCUGUGCGCAGUGAUUACCUCACUACGCACAGGUGCAGCCACUCCUGUUCCUGGGUCCAAUUAGCCUGGCCAAUUAUCUAAUUCUUAACCAAUUAUCCAAUUGGCCAGGUCUAAUUAGCUUGACCCAGGGCAGGUGUGGCUGCUUAAACCAGCCAUCCCCACACCACAUAGGGGUUUUUAUACACCCCCAUGUCAGAAAGAAAACAUGGGGAUGCUAGCUACUUCAUUUUUAAGUCUUUAAAAAGGGUUUAAAAUUAAAAUUGUGCACGUUAGGGGCCAUAUAGAUGUGUUUGGUAUCUAUAGGCAGCAAAAUGUUUGAAUGGAUUCAAAAUCGUGUUGAAUAAUUAUACAGGAUUUUGUAAAACAGUGUAAUUCAAACUACUGUUUAUAACGAAAUAUUUUAUUUUUCAUUGAGACACCACCCUAAAAGUGUCAAGGGUGGGGGUUUGGGGGGUUACACACCAAGCAUAAAUUAGGGCCAGGACACAGCUUCUUUACUUUGGUGAGAAGUUAUCAAACCACAACCAAGAAUGUCUGAGUUGACUUUUACAAUGUAUCCUGUAAGUACCCACAUUUAUUUGAGUUUCUUUUUCUAAUUCUCUGAAAUAAAUACACUUAACGCAAAAGCCUGUUAAAGCUAAAGUUUUUUUUUUUUUUUUAAACCGAUACGUCCAGCACUGAAGUCCUGAACGAAGUUCUAGAGAUCUUGACAACUGAUGAAGAGCUGGUGCCAAGUCUACCAACGAAUCCACAAACACCGGAGCAAGUGCGGAUCAACCCUGCCGAGGAGAGCGCAAGCUUAUCGACAUCUACACUUAUUUGGCCAGAAGAACCAGAAAAAACUUUUGAAGAGGGGAAAAAAUCCCAUCUAAAGCUCAACAAAAAAAGGAAACUUUUUAGCGAAUCAGGUACUGAGAACCAUGUGGCAGAGAGGGCCUUGGGAGAAAUGGUGGUGAAACAGAUCACAGAUCACCGAUUGAAGAGUGCGUAACAGCUGAGGAAAGCAACCAACAGGCCCGAGAAUCACACCUCCAGGAGCAACCAGCUGAGGAAGCCCCUGGACACAGAGAGGACGGCAGUGCUGAGGAAAG